GUGGGGAAUUUUGGACAAUGGGGGCAACCCUGAUCCAGCCAUGCCGCGUGCGGGAAGAAGGCCUUCGGGUUGUAAACUGCUUUUGUACGGAACGAAACGGUCCGGGUUAAUACCCUGGGCUAAUGACGGUACCGUAAGAAUAAGCACCGGCUAACUACGUGCCAGCAGCCGCGGUAAUACGUAGGGUGCAAGCGUUAAUCGGAAUUACUGGGCGUAAAGCGUGCGCAGGCGGUUUUGUAAGACAGGCGUGAAAUCCCCGGGCUCAACCUGGGAAUUGCGCUUGUGACUGCAAGGCUGGAGUGCGGCAGAGGGGGAUGGAAUUCCGCGUGUAGCAGUGAAAUGCGUAGAUAUGCGGAGGAACACCGAUGGCGAAGGCAAUCCCCUGGGCCUGCACUGACGCUCAUGCACGAAAGCGUGGGGAGCAAACAGGAUUAGAAACCCUUGUAGUCC
rnacentral:rRNA from 1 species